GAGACACCCUUCUGGGGCAAGACUUGCUCCAGUGGGGCUUUGGUGCUCACUGAGUCUGCCCCCUGGGUGUGUCCCU
rnacentral:pre_miRNA from 1 species